AGAAAGAAAGAUUAGGUCAGCAGUGGAAAGAACUGGAAAAUGCUUCAUUUAUUUUUCCAGAAAAAUCACGUUUAUGGAAAGAUAUAUAUAUAUAUAUUUUUCAAGGAUGUAUCAGUUUUGUUGAUGCUUCCCCAGAUGACAGGCAUAACUGCAUAUCAUGAGACACCUACUUCAGGACAGUCUACUGGUUACCUCAAUUUCUACUCUACCUUGUUGAAACUAGGGACUUUCAUUUCUUUAGAUUUAUGCAGUAGCCAUGUUUGUCAAAGUAUAUGGCACCAGUGACAUCAUCUUUGCUGAAAUGCCGGACAGCGUGAUGAGUCCCAGAUGUUAACACACACCAAAAGCACAGAAAGAAUAAAAUCCAAAAAUCAACUAUAACAGCUAUGGAGGACUGUGCUUAGUUUACAUUCUCAUGUUGAUAGAUGAAGAAUGUUGGUUUUUAGUCAAGGGCUCCU